rnacentral:rRNA from 1 species
GAUGAACGCUGGCGGCGUGCCUAAUACAUGCAAGUCGAGCGAACAGACGAGGAGCUUGCUCCUCUGACGUUAGCGGCGGACGGGUGAGUAACACGUGGAUAACCUACCUAUAAGACUGGGAUAACUUCGGGAAACCGGAGCUAAUACCGGAUAAUAUAUUGAACCGCAUGGUUCAAUAGUGAAAGACGGUUUUGCUGUCACUUAUAGAUGGAUCCGCGCCGCAUUAGCUAGUUGGUAAGGUAACGGCUUACCAAGGCGACGAUGCGUAGCCGACCUGAGAGGGUGAUCGGCCACACUGGAACUGAGACACGCUCCAGACUCCUACGGGAGGCAGCAGUCGGGAAUCUUCCGCAAUGGGGGAAAGCCUGACAGAGCAACGCCGCGUGAGUGAUGACGGUCUUCGGAUCGUAAAAAUCUGUUAUUAGGGAAGAACAAAUGUGUAAGUAACUAUGCACGUCUUGACGGUACCUAAUCAGAAAGCCACGGCUAACUACGUG